UUGGGAAUAGCUCAGUGGUAGAGUGCUUGCCUAGCAAGCGCAAGGCCCUGGGUUCAGUCCCCAGCUCCGAAA
rnacentral:tRNA from 1 species